AUUGAACGCUGGCGGCAUGCCUUACACAUGCAAGUCGAACGGUAACAGGUUAAGCUGACGAGUGGCGAACGGGUGAGUAAUGUAUCGGAACGUGCCCAGUCGUGGGGGAUAACUGCUCGAAAGAGCGGCUAAUACCGCAUACGACCUGAGGGUGAAAGCGGGGGACCGCAAGACCUCGCGCGAUUGGAGCGGCCGAUAUCAGAUUAGGUAGUUGGUGGGGUAAAGGCCUACCAAGCCUACGAUCUGUAGCUGGUCUGAGAGGACGACCAGCCACACUGGGACUGAGACACGGCCCAGACUCCUACGGGAGGCAGCAGUGGGGAAUUUUGGACAAUGGACGCAAGUCUGAUCCAGCCAUGCCGCGUGCGGGAAGAAGGCCUUCGGGUUGUAAACCGCUUUUGUCAGGGAAGAAAAGGUUCUGGUUAAUACCUGGGACUCAUGACGGUACCUGAAGAAUAAGCACCGGCUAACUACGAGCCAGCAGCCGCAGUAAAAC
rnacentral:rRNA from 1 species